rnacentral:tRNA from 1 species
UAUCGCGAUGGGCGGUUCGACCAACACCGUUCUUCACCUGCUGGCGGCGGCGCAGGAAGCGGAAAUCGACUUCACC